rnacentral:lncRNA from 1 species
AGUGUCGCAGAUCCUCAGUCCCUCGAAGUGCCCACUGAACGGGCAGCCACCAAAGCCCUUGGAAUGGAGUCCAGUAGCUCUGUGGCCAGCCAUGGGGAGCUGGACCCCGGGGCCUUCCUGGACAGGGAUUCAGAGUGUAAGGAGGAGCUCCUGAAAGAUUCAAGUUCUGAGCAUGGCGGUGCACCCCCCGACAGCAAGGACAAGACACCGGGCAGGCAUCGCCGCUUCACAGGUGACUCGGGCAUUGAGGUACAAAUUCAGGGUGUGGACGCCUCCUCUCCCCACAAAAGCACAGUGUUCUAGAAGAUGGAGAAGCUGACUUGUUCCGCACCCCCCCUUUCCAGAGCUGUGUCUCACCUACCUGCUUGGCUGAGAAACGUGUGUUUGGAAAAUCCCCGAGGACUGGGGCUGGACUGUGCCCUAAGACGGUUCUCGGUGAUGGAGUGGAUUCAUAAGAGAACUGUCUCCGUCUGGGAGAGACAGUUAUCUUGGCCCUGGGUGAAGAAGGAAACCCUCUGGGGCCUGGGGAUUGUGGCCACCACUGGCUACAGAGCUGGCACUGGUCUAAUCCUGUGGGAGGGUGAGCGCUAGUGGACAGGGUGGUGAGGGACUUGUUGAUUUGACAAGCCCUAGGCGGAAAGUACACAUCUGUGCAUUGUGGAGGGGACCCUUCCCGGCAGGCUUUGGCCAGCUUCAGCCUGGUUCAGGUGUAGAAGAUUAUAUUGUUCUCUGUGUUUUCCUUUAAAAACAAGUAACA